rnacentral:rRNA from 1 species
GGCGAACGCUGGCGGCAGGCCUAACACAUGCCAGUCGAACGAACUCUUCGGAGUUAGUGGCGGACGGGUGAGUAACACGUGGGAACGUGCCUUUUGGUUCGGAAUAACUCAGGGAAACUUGUGCUAAUACCGAAUGUGCCCUUCGGGGGAAAGAUUUAUCGCCAUUAGAGCGGCCCGCGUCUGAUUAGCUAGUUGGUGAGGUAACGGCUCACCAAGGCGACGAUCAGUAGCUGGUCUGAGAGGAUGACCAGCCACACUGGGACUGAGACACGGCCCAGACUCCUACGGGAGGCAGCAGUGGGGAAUCUUGCGCAAUGGGCGAAAGCCUGACGCAGCCAUGCCGCGUGAAUGAUGAUGGGCUUAGGAUUGUAAAAUUCUUUCACCGGGGACGAUAAUGACGGUACCCGGAGAAGAAGCCCCGGCUAACUUCGUG